rnacentral:rRNA from 1 species
AUACGUAGGGGGCGAGCGUUGUCCGGAAUGAUUGGGCGUAAAGGGCGCGUAGGCGGCCCGGUAAGUCUGGAGUGAAAGUCCUGCUUUUAAGGUGGGAAUUGCUUUGGAUACUGUCGGGCUUGAGUGCAGGAGAGGGAAGUGGAAUUCCCAGUGUAGCGGUGAAAUGCGUAGAGAUUGGGAGGAACACCAGUGGCGAAGGCGACUUACUGGACUGUAACUGACGCUGAGGCGCGAAAGUGUGGGGAGCAAACAGGAUUAGAUACCCUGGUAGUCCACACUGUAAACGAUGAAUGCUAGGUGUAGGGGGUAUCGACCCCUUCUGUGCCGCAGUUAACACAAUAAGCAUUCCGCCUGGGGAGUACGGCCGCAAGGUUGAAACUCAAAUGAAUUGACGGGG